AUGGGUCCGAGGUGCGAUGAUGGGGGCCUUAUGGCCCGAUAUCCGGUGAUCCCGGCUGCCGAGAAAAGCUUCGGCGUCAGGCUCAAAGCCGCCCGUACCCCAAACCGACACUGGUGGUCAGGUAGAGAAUACCAAAGCGAUCGAGCGAAUCCUGGUCAAGGAACUCGGCAAAUCACUCCCGUUCCUUCGGUUUAAGGGAGACCCCCGAUGGUGAACACACUUGCUGUGGGAGCUUUUGGGGGUGGCACAGACCAGGGGGUAGCGACUGUUUACCAAAAACACAGGUGCAUGCGAAGGCGCAAGCCGCUGUAUAUGCACUGACGCCUACCCGGUGCCGGAAGGUUAAGAGGAUCCGUCAGCCUUCGGGUGAAGCGGUGAAUUCAAGCCCCGGUAAACGGCGGUGGUAACAAUAACCAUCCUAAGGUAGCGAAAUUCCUUGUCGGGUAAGUUCCGACCUGCACGAAUGGCGUAACGACUUCCCCACUGUCUCGACCAGGAGCUCGGCGAAAUUGCAGUACGAGUAAAGAUGCUCGUUAAGCGCAGAAGGACGAAAAGACCCCGGGACCUUUACUAUACCUUGGUAUUGGCAUUCGGUGUGGAUUGUGUAGCAUAGGCGGGAGGCCGAGAGGCGCGGUCGCCAGAUCGCGCGGAGCCGUGAGGUGAAAUACCGCUCUGUUCGCAUUGGAUGUCUAACCUCGAACAGUCAUCCUGUUCAGGGACAGUGCCUGGCGGGUAGUUUAACUGGGGCGGUUGCCUCCCAAAGAGUAACGGAGGCGCCCAAAGGUCCGCUCAGCCCGGUUGGCAAUCGGGUGGCGAGUGCAAGUGCACAAGCGGGCUUGACUGCGAGGACGACGGUCCGAGCAGGGACGAAAGUCGGGACUAGUGAUCCGGUGCCGGUGUACGGACGCGGCAUCGCUCAACGGAUAAAAGGUACCCCGGGGAUAACAGGCUGAUCAUUCCCAAGAGUCCAUAUCGACGGGAUGGUUUGGCACCUCGAUGUCGGCUCGUCGCAUCCUGGGGCUGGAGCAGGUCCCAAGGGUUCGGCUGUUCGCCGAUUAAAGCGGCACGCGAGCUGGGUUCAGAACGUCGUGAGACAGUUUGGUCUCUAUCCUCUGCGCUCGUUGGAAUGCUGAGGAGGCCUGCCCAUAGUACGAGAGGACCUGGGUGGACGAACCUCUGGUAUGCCGGUUGUCACGCCAGUGGCACGGCCGGUUGGCUACGUUCGGAAGGGAUAACCGCUGAAAGCAUCUAAGCGGGAAGCCUGCUCCAAGAUAAGCAUUCCGUGGAACCUUCGAGUUCCUGUAGUCCCCAUGCAGAACACGUGGUCGAUAGGCCGGACGUGGAAGCCCCGCGAGGGGUGGAGCCGACCGGUACUAACGGACGAAAGGC
rnacentral:rRNA from 1 species